GGGAAUAUAGCUUAAUCAGGUAAAGCACAUAUUUUGCAAGUAUGAGGUUGUUAGUUCAAUUCUAAUUAUUUCCA
rnacentral:tRNA from 1 species